rnacentral:rRNA from 1 species
CCUACGGGUGGCAGCAGUCGAGAAUCAUUCACAAUGGGGGAAACCCUGAUGGUGCGACGCCGCGUGGGGGAAUGAAGGUCUUCGGAUUGUAAACCCCUGUCAUGUGGGAGCAAAUUAAAAAGAUAGUACCACAAGAGGAAGAGCCGGCUAACGCUGUGCCAGCAGCCGCGGUAAUACAGAGGUCUCAAGCGUUGUUCGGAAUCACUGGGCGUAAAGCGUGCGUAGGCUGUUUCGUAAGUCGUGUGUGAAAGGCGGGGGCUCAACCCGCGGACGGCACAUGUUACUGCGAGGCUAGAGUAAUGGAGGGGGAAGCGGAAUUCUCGGUGUAGCAGUGAAAUGCGUAGAUAUCGAGAGGAACACUCGUGGCGAAGGCGGGUUCCUGGACAUUAACUGACGCUGAGGCACGAAGGCCAGGGGAGCGAAAGGGAUUAGAUACCCGAGUAGUC